UACAGAGGGGGGCAAGCGUUAUUCGGAAUUAUUGGGCGUAAAGGGCGCGUAGGCGGCUUUGCAAGUGGCGGGUGAAAUCCCUCGGCUUAACCGAGGAACUGCCUGCCAGACUGUGAGGCUUGAGACCGGGAGAGGUGAGUGGAAUUCCCAGUGUAGCGGUGAAAUGCGUAGAUAUCUGGAGGAACACCGGUGGCGAAGGCGGCAUCCUGGACCGGCAUUGACGCUGAGGAGCGAAAGCCAGGGGAGCAAACAGG
rnacentral:rRNA from 1 species